GCAGAUUCAAUCUUGAUGAUUCACCAAAAUCAUAGUUGUGUUGAGUGUGAUGACUAGUAGAUCCACUUUGACUUACUCCCCCUGAGCUGAUGUAUAUCCUAUUUGAUGAUCCUCCACUUUGACCACUGUGACCAUGAUGAUCAUUUGUAUUGUUGCCAAUACUUCCUCCAGAUGGUUCAGGAUCAGCAUUCUCUUCAUUUGCAUUAGGAUCUCUUAUAUCAGCUUCAGGUUCAUCUUCUCCUAAGUAGAUGUCUUCUAAAUUCUCAAA
rnacentral:lncRNA from 1 species